UGGCUGAGAUGGUAAAGAAUCUGCCUGCAAUGCAGGAGACCGGGGUUCGAUCCCUG
rnacentral:tRNA from 1 species